UUCAAACUUAAGUUCCACUUAUAUUUUAUAUGGGCCUAAUUUUUUUACUCAAAACUAAUUUUUCAAGCCUAAUAUUUUUAUCCAAACCCCUCAUAUUUCAGGUGAACGUUUGGAUUUAGACAAAUAACCCAACCCAUAAACAAGUCUAAAUAGUAGUUGUAGAGCCCAAUUUUAGCCCGGGCCAAAAACAAAACCAAAUAAAAAACAAAGUCCAAAAUAACUAAAUUAGUCCAAAAUUACAGCCCAAAUUAAAUACCCAAACUAAAGACCUAGGCCCAAAAUCCUAGCCCACCUAGCACUAACCCACAACCAGUAAAAACAGAAAACCCUAGGUGCGCCGCACCUAGGUUGGUUGCCCACCCCUCCAUCGAGCGCCGCACGCCCCAUGCACGACCCCCAGCUCGCGUGUUGCACACCCCACGUCCGUGCAUUCCUCCUCCACAUCUUCACGAUAC
rnacentral:lncRNA from 1 species